UCGGGCUGGCGGGCGCGCAGCGAAACCCGUGGGGGAAGGAGGCGGUGGCGCGCACGCGCGUGCCCCAGCCUCUACCCCUCCCGCCUCUGUCUCGCGCGGCACGAGUCGUCGCUUCUCCUGCGGCUUGGAGGGGCGGGGGCCCCAUUGCGCGAGCGAGCCAGGCAGCGAGCGAGCGUAGCCGCCCCGCCGCUGUCGAAGUGUGGGAUGAAUUGCUCGGAGUGCCGAGCCCUGAGGAAGAUGGGGUUGGGGGGGGCGGGAGUAGGAAGCUAGCUCCCCGUCCAGCCCCACCCCUUUGGGUCCCUGCCCUGGAGCCCGGAGGGGAAGAAGGCAGGAGUAUGACCACUGAAGCCUUUCUUCGCCCCCUCACCCCCACCGACGUUCUGCUUCUGUUGUCUCCCCCCACUACACGCGUGGGGGGGGUUCGUCUUUAGCUGUGGGGGCGUCGCCUUGGCUUGUCACCCCCCCCCCGCCCCACCUCCGAGCUCGCAGGCGGGCCCCGCCCACCGCGUGGGGGCGGGGGUGGGAGGGACCCAAUCUGCGUUUUCUUCCUGGCCCCGAAAUGACAGCCCAGGGCGGGAGGCGCGGCCCAGAAUGGUCACUUCCCCGUCCAUGGGCCGUCCCCUUAGUCUCUGACUCCUGCUUUUUGGCGGAGAGAAGCUUAGGCCGAGCUUCACCCUGGUCUCCACUCCCUCUGCUCCUCCCCUCCCCCUCCCCAGAGAUAUUGAAACCAGAACAGAACUUUAUCCCUCAAGAAAUUGGAUUUUGCUUCUAUCACAUGAGGAUAAAUAUACAGAGUCCAGCUUAAACUUCAGAUAUCUCUAGGUAUAGGUAAUGCCUACAUCAGUUUUUCCUUAUGUGUAAUACAGAUGUAAAUAAUUUUAUUUGGCCUUAGCUGAGCUUUUAACAGGCUUAUUUAUAUUGACAUUUGGAUUUUUUUUUUUAGUGUGUCACCUUCAAUUUAAUAAAUUUAAAAAUCACUCAAUAAAAGACAAGACUUUAGAGGUUAAAGACUCAAUACUUCAUUUUUUUUUUGUAAAUGUCUAGAAGUUAUGACACACUGAGAGGUAGAGUGUUCUCAGUUUUCUUUCUCCUAAAAAAGAGCCUUGUCUCCCCAAAGAAGACUUUUCCUUUUAAGGUAUAAUUAGCCAGAGAGCAGAUAGGUAAGUUUAAUUUUGCUCAGGAUUGAAGAACAUUGACAACUUUGUUCUCAUUAGGUAAAAAUAAAUCUUUUAUUAUGACAAAACCCUGUAUUGCAAAACCAGAUAAUAUGGAAUUAGUGAUUCCCUCUCCUUUAUUAAAAUCUUAGAAGUGGUAUCAUUAGGGGGCAGCUGGGUAGCUCAGUGGAUUGAAAGCCAGGUCUAGAGAUGGGAAGUCCUGGGUUCAAAUGUGACCUCAGACACUUCCUAGCUAUGUUACUCUGGGCAAGUCACUUAACCCCCAUUGCCUAGCCCUUACCACUCUUCUGUCUAGUACAUAGUAUUGAUUCUAAGGCAGAAGGUAAGGGUUUUUUAAAAAAAAGAACUGGUGUCACUAUAAGAUGUGAUAAAUUCAGUGGUUUUUCGUUUUUCAUUUAGAUAUUAAGCCUUACUAAUUUCUUGACUUCUCUGUUGUUUAUAAAGAAGUGUUGGGGCAGCAAGGUGGCUCAGUGGACAGAUCCAGGUCAGAAAUUGGGUUCAAAUGUGGUCUCAGAUACUUCCUCCCUAUGUGACCCAUGGCAAACUGCUUAGCUCCAGUUGCCUAGUCCUUGCCACUCUUCUGCCUUAGAAUUGAUAUUAAGAUAAAAAGUAAAGGUUAAAAAAAUAAAAUAAUGUUCUCUAGCUUUCAUUGAUUGUUGAUCAAGAGUUGUUCUUCAGCCCAUGGGGUUUUCUUGGCAAGGAUACUACAGUGGUUUGCCAUUUUCUUCUCUAGUGAAUUAAGGCGAACAAGUUAAAUGACUUGCCCAGGGUAGAACAGUUAGUGCCUUGAUGUCAAAUUUUUAGUCAGACUCUGGAUCCAGUGCUCCACAAACUAAACUACUAGCUGCCUCCUAGACAAACAAGUUAAGUGACUUGUCCAAGGUCACACAACUAGUAAGUGUCUGAGACUGCAUAUGAACUCACAUCUUUCCAACUCUAGGCCCAACACUACUCUGCCUUUAUGUACUUGGGUAGAAAGUAUUUUGUUGCAGUUAAUUCUGAAUGCUUUGGGGUUUGGAACCAUAUAGCUUGUUAUAUUAUUAGCCAAUAUGGUUUUUUGUUGUUGUUUUUUUGAUACCUGUGUAUUAUACAUUUUUAAGAAGUCUUGAGUACCUCACAAAGACUAGUGUUAGGUCCUAUACUAGCUUACAUAGUACCUUGCACCCAGUGGGCCUUUUUAAGUGCCUUUUGCAUUCAUAUACAGGUUGUAGAAUCUUCAGACUCAUCUAGACUAAACCCCUACUCUUACAUAAGAGGAGACUGAAGCCCAGGAAGGUUGUGGAGUUGCCUAUGUUCACAGAACUGAUUGGCAGUAGAAUUUGGACAACAGUCUAAAUUUUAUAGGCUAAUCUUUUCUCACUAUGUUUCCUAAAUGUCAAGACUUAGGAAUAGUUUAGUUUGUUUUAUUUAGCAUUUUAAAAUUCUGUUUUAAAUUCUUUAUCCGAUUUCACAUUCAAAAAACUCUGAGAUAAAAAUGGUAUUAAUCUGUUUAACAAAUGAGGAAGCUAAAGUAGAGUAGUUCCAUGAUUUGCUUGGACCAGAAAAGAGUCCUAGUCUUAGGACUGGCAGUGUGGUGCUCUUGGAAUGAAAAAGAAGCCUUAUUAAAGGAGCACCGACAACCUAUUUGUCCUUUCCUUUAUAAUGUAACAUCACAAGCAUCACAGGUCUGCCAGACUUAGCAGUUUUAGCUGUUCCCCUUGGACUUAAGGGCUUAAAGUUAUAAGGGACCUUUUGCUAUAACUUUGAAAUUAUCUGCCUUUUGAGACUAUCCAAAUAAAGGCCAAAGAAAAGGGAAAUUUAUUGAAGCUUGCAAAUUUAAGGUACUGUAAUGGAAUUUAUUAUGUUGAACAUUCAUGGUCUAUAGCUAUCUUCAAAUAUGAGUGACACACUAAUACUCUAAUAUAGUUCAAAAUCUUAGAAGCUAUUUGAAAGAUUCAUACCAAGGUUAUUUAGUAUGACAUUUCCUCAUGUUUGUAUUCUUCUCCCAACCUCCUUUUAUCAUUGCUUUCUUUAAAAGCAACAUAUAUACAAAAAAAGAAAUGCUUUGAAGCCAAUUACCAUUUAAGUACAAAUUUUAUUAUAUAGAAAAAUACUAGUUAUUCAGGGCCGUAGUCUGAUCCUUUAAAAAAUGGGCAUUUUCUCCCUUGAUGUGCACUUAGCUCAAAUUAGUAAUUUUUAAAAUUUAAAAAAAAGCCAUAGGGCAACUUAAUGUUAGAACAUUUUGAUAUUUUGUAAUUUUUAUUUAUUAAAUUGCAGUGAACGUCUGGCAUGUUCAAUGUUUUUAAUUUUCCUUGUGGGAAGAAAAAAUUCAUUUUGAAGGUAAUGAUUGCAACUUUCAUAGAUGUCAAGUGCUACUUAAUGAGUGUCUAGAGGAAUUAAGAGAGGCUAGCAGAUAUUACUUAAACAGUAUUUUGAUGAGCCAUUGUCAAUAUUGAAUACAUUUCUUAUACAUAGACAUUGGCUCGGAUCACAACUUAUUUUAAGGAAACUCAGCCAAAGCAUUUUAUAUAAAAAUGAUUGAAUUCAAUUUAGUUUUUUAAAUUAUAUUUUUAGGAAGUAUUUAAGCUCUGCAAUCCAGGUUUUAGUUCUAGCCUUUCUAUAUAUUGUCCUAUACCCUUUCUAGGGCUUGGAGAGGGUUCAUGUAGAUGUCUUUUUUAGGUUGGUUGUAUUGGGCAAUUUUAUCAUUUUUAUUCUAAUUUACCAUAUAUCAUGAUUAUUGUUAUUAAAAUAAAGUUUGACUUGGCAUUUUUUUUCACUAAUAUUUUGAGAGAAAAUAGCCAAGAGGUUCCUAGAAAAAAAGGAAAAUAUUAGGAAGAGAGAAUGUAAGGGACAUGAGAAAUGUGCCUCAAUAGAAAUUAGUUAGAAUUAACGGUUUAUAUUUAAUGUUUGAGGCUGUGAAAUAAUAACAAAUAAAUUUUUAUAAUAUGUAAAGUGAGGAAAUUGGACUAGAUGAACUCUUACUUCAUAUAAAGAAAAAUAUAUUUUAUGCAUAAAACAUUUUGGUUGAAAGAAUGCUAUUUUCUUAACACUACUUUGAUGCAAAAAAUUAUUAUAAUUUUACUUUCUAUUUUGCUUUAUAGAUAAAAAUUCACAGCAUCAAUUGACACUGCUUGGUUCUUCGAACUAUUCUUAAAUUCUGGUCUUACUAUUAAAUAACAGAAAAUUUGACAACUUGACAAAUAAUAAGAAAUUGAGCAUAUACCAUAAAAUACCAAUUCAUACAUUUAAAUGAUUAUCUUCAAAAAAGGAAAUAA